CUUUUCUUGUUUAUUAUUCUUGACACUUUUUGGGACCUAUUUUCUACAGUUUGUACACUACAUACACAAUUCAUACAUCAAACUCCUGCAGAGCUGGAUGCUGAUUACGCUCUGUGCAUUGCAAUGAAAGCACAGUGUGACUUCAAUGAGGUCUGAAGAAGAGAGGUUGGAACAUCGAAAAAGGCGGCAAAAACAAAACACGCAGCAGGAAGCAGAUGUUCUUCUAAGGGACACCCUAGAGACAGCAAGGUGAUGCGAACGCCCAACAUUUAAAGGCAUCGUUUCCCUCCCUAGUGUAAAUCAUAUGGAUGGGGAAGACCGCAUUACAACCCUUAAAAAACUAUGGUUGUAUGAUGGCCUGGAUGAAGAGGAAAAUAUUCUCCUCAAGUAAUCAUUCAUGUUUUCGUUUCAGUUAGAGAGAUUAUGAGAUGUUCUAUGUGGAGGCAGUUGACAACAAGAAAAUGAAUGUUUGCCUCUUUUGAGGAGCUGGAGUGAAGCCAUUUUUGAGGAGUGGUCAAACCUUGUUUUUGUCUGCUGUGUUAAUUGUUUCAAUUGUUAAUUGUGUUGUUUAGUAAAGAUGACUUAGAAGUCACCCGAGUCUCUGAUCUCUUCACUGGAGCUGGUAUAACUUAAUGUAAAGCACAUUCAGCUUGUCAGUAUGUCUAUAUGGUAUAGUCUGUCUCCAUUCUCAUGAAUUGCACUAUAAAUCAGGAUAGGUAGAAACUGUAUAUAUAUGCUCAAUUAAGUAAUGUAAUUACAAAGUCAUAACAUUUAUCAACACAAUUUUAACAGUACAUUACAUACAUAACAAGUCUGUUGUUCACUGCAACAAUAUCAAUAGCUUGUCUCAAAUAUAGCAUGAAGCAAAAAGUGUUACAACAUGUGCCGGUUCAGCUUUAUAUAAUAUUUCCCACAAUCUUCAAAAAUGAAAUACGUUUGUAUUCAACGUGUGCCUUGCACAAACAUGUGUGUUUGUAUUCAGUGUGUGACUCUCAAACCUCAGAUGGAC
ensembl:lncRNA